rnacentral:lncRNA from 1 species
AACAGAGUUGCUGGGUACAUGGACCACAGUUUGCUCCACACUCUCCUCCCAGGAUCACUGCUCAAGUCAGAAGGGCAAGAUAUUUGCAGUUGGCAAAGCUUUUAGUGGCAUCUUCAAUUAAAUCAGUGUAUCUCUCCUAAUUCCAUUUCCCAUUGCACUAAAACCCCCCUACCAGUAGAUGAUGAUGCUUUUCAAACCAUUAGACCAUAUUAAAAGUUUAAUCUGGAUAAUAUGUAAAACCAGUAACAGAAUCAAAGUUCAAUAAAAUCUAGGCAUGGUUUCAGACUAAUGUAAAACAAGACAAAAUUAGGCUGUGAUAUAAUUUUAAGGCUAACCUGGAGGGAGAUCUUGUCAGGAACUGUGGUAUAAAGUGGCUGUGGUAUUAGAUCAGCUAUAGUAAUACCUUUUUUUUUCCAGUGAAACCACUUGGGAAAUAAUCUUCCUUUGGGGAAGAAUCUGUUUUGGGGCAUCUGUAUAGAUCUGAGAAGGGAGACAGUAUUGGUUUUGAAACUUGAAAUCACUGUGGACUAGUCCUGUCAUCGGUUGUAUUAAUAAUACAGACUUUCACUUGAAGAAACUUCAAGUAUAUCUGUCGUUCACUUGGCUGGGGACAAGUCUCUGAGAUGCACCAAGAUGUACAGAUCCUCUGGGCAGAAUGUGAACAACCAGUUUGGAAAGCAGCAUCACACAGCGUCAAGUGAGCGUGACGCAUGCUCUGCUCUGCUGAGGCCCACAGAACAUAUGUUGAUGUACGGGCUGGGAGCCCUCUGUUCCUCUUCUCUACACGGCCAGCAGACAUCGCCUUCCUCUGUGCGUGCUGGCACUCUGGCCCUCGUCUUCGAGGGUGUGGUGACGUGGAGGCGAUGACGGAGCCAAGGCUUCUGAAGCACAUAUCUUCAGAGAGCUGCUGCUCACAGGAGAAGUUAAUAUACAUCAGGUAAAUCUGCGGCUGUAAAUGAAACCUUGGGACUCUUCCUCAGCCGUGACUAAUCCUGUGCACACUGUGACUCAGCUGGUGAAGCAUUUAUCAGGAGAGCUCCCAGAGCACUCAGCUAUAAGCCUGUAAAUAAAAAUAUCUUGUCUUCUUGUAGCA